rnacentral:snRNA from 1 species
GUGCUCACUUUGGCAGCACAUAUACUAUAACUGGAACAAUACAGAGAAGAUUAGCAUGGCCCCUGCCCAAGGAUGACAUGCAAAUUCGUAAAGCAAAAACCACAAUG